rnacentral:rRNA from 1 species
GAUGAACGCUGGCGGCGUGCCUAAUACAUGCAAGUCGAGCGAACGGACGAGAAGCUUGCUUCUCUGAUGUUAGCGGCGGACGGGUGAGUAACACGUGGAUAACCUACCUAUAAGACUGGGAUAACUUCGGGAAACCGGAGCUAAUACCGGAUAAUAUUUUGAACCGCAUGGUUCAAAAGUGAAAGACGGUCUUGCUGUCACUUAUAGAUGGAUCCGCGCUGCAUUAGCUAGUUGGUAAGGUAACGGCUUACCAAGGCAACGAUGCAUAGCCGACCUGAGAGGGUGAUCGGCCACACUGGAACUGAGACACGGUCCAGACUCCUACGGGAGGCAGCAGUAGGGAAUCUUCCGCAAUGGGCGAAAGCCUGACGGAGCAACGCCGCGUGAGUGAUGAAGGUCUUCGGAUCGUAAAACUCUGUUAUUAGGGAAGAACAUAUGUGUAAGUAACUGUGCACAUCUUGACGGUACCUAAUCAGAAAGCCACGGCUAACUACGUGCCAGCAGCCGCGGUAAUACGUAGGUGGCAAGCGUUAUCCGGAAUUAUUGGGCGUAAAGCGCGCGUAGGCGGUUUUUUAAGUCUGAUGUGAAAGCCCACGGCUCAACCGUGGAGGGUCAUUGGAAACUGGAAAACUUGAGUGCAGAAGAGGAAAGUGGAAUUCCAUGUGUAGCGGUGAAAUGCGCAGAGAUAUGGAGGAACACCAGUGGCGAAGGCGACUUUCUGGUCUGUAACUGACGCUGAUGUGCGAAAGCGUGGGGAUCAAACAGGAUUAGAUACCCUGGUAGUCCACGCCGUAAACGAUGAGUGCUAAGUGUUAGGGGGUUUCCGCCCCUUAGUGCUGCAGCUAACGCAUUAAGCACUCCGCCUGGAGAGUACGACCGCAAGGUUGAAACUCAAAGGAAUUGACGGGGACCCGCACAAGCGGUGGAGCAUGUGGUUUAAUUCGAAGCAACGCGAAGAACCUUACCAAAUCUUGACAUCCUUUGACAACUCUAGAGAUAGAGCUUUCCCCUUCGGGGGACAAAGUGACAGGUGGUGCAUGGUUGUCGUCAGCUCGUGUCGUGAGAUGUUGGGUUAAGUCCCGCAACGAGCGCAACCCUUAAGCUUAGUUGCCAUCAUUAAGUUGGGCACUCUAAGUUGACUGCCGGUGACAAACCGGAGGAAGGUGGGGAUGACGUCAAAUCAUCAUGCCCCUUAUGAUUUGGGCUACACACGUGCUACAAUGGACAAUACAAAGGGCAGCGAAACCGCGAGGUCAAGCAAAUCCCAUAAAGUUGUUCUCAGUUCGGAUUGUAGUCUGCAACUCGACUACAUGAAGCUGGAAUCGCUAGUAAUCGUAGAUCAGCAUGCUACGGUGAAUACGUUCCCGGGUCU